rnacentral:rRNA from 1 species
GAUGAACGCUAGCGAUAGGCUUAACACAUGCAAGUCGAGGGGCAGCACAAGGUAGCUUGCUAUCUGGGUGGCGACCGGCGCACGGGUGCGUAACGCGUAUGCAACUUGCCCUAUACAGGAGGAUAACCCGUCGAAAGACGGACUAAUACUGCGUAUGCUCACAACUUGGCAUCAAGUGGUGAGGAAAGAAAUUCGGUAUAGGAUAGGCAUGCGUCCCAUUAGCUUGUUGGUGAGGUAACGGCUCACCAAGGCAACGAUGGGUAGGGGAACUGAGAGGUUUAUCCCCACACUGGUACUGAGACACGGACCAGACGCCUACGGGAGGCAGCAGUAGGGAAUAUUGGUCAAUGGGCGCGAGCAUGAACCAGACAAGUCGCGUGAAGGAUGACUGUCUUAUGGAUUGUAAACUUCUUUUAUACGGGAAUAACAAGAGUCACGUGUGACUCCCUGCAUGUACCGUAUGAAUAAGCAUCGGCUAACUCCGUG